rnacentral:sRNA from 1 species
AAUACUCCGGCGGCACUCCUCCUCCCAGCUGCCGGACAAGCAAGACCCGAUAGUUCCUCCCGUAUGGGUCUUGCAUUAAUGGAAAAGGCCGGAUCCUCCCCCGGCCUUUUCUUUUU